GCAGCAGGACUGUAGCAAUACAGUUUGCUGGCGACCGGCAAACGGGUGCGGAACACGUACGCAAUCUACCCAAAACUGGUGAAUAGCCCUCCGAAAGGAGGAUUAAUACACCGUAACCUAUUGAAGUGGCAUCACUUUAUUAGUAUAGCUCCGGCGGUUUUGGAUGAGCGUGCGGCUGAUUAGGUAGUUGGCGGGGUAACGGCCCACCAAGCCUGCGAUCAGUAACUGGUGUGAGAGCACGACCAGUCACACGGGCACUGAGACACGGGCCCGACUCCUACGGGAGGCAGCAGUAAGGAAUAUUGGUCAAUGGACGCAAGUCUGAACCAGCCAUGCCGCGUGGAGGAUGAAGGCCCUCUGGGUUGUAAACUUCUUUUAUCUGGGACGAAACCCUCAUAUUCUUAUGAGACUGACGGUACCAGAGGAAUAAGCACCGGCUAACUCCGUGCCAGCAGCCGCGGUAAUACGGAGGGUGCAAGCGUUA
rnacentral:rRNA from 1 species